rnacentral:lncRNA from 1 species
CAAAGAGGGAGUCACAUUCAGUAAUGUCACAAACAGGGAGUCACAUUCGGUAAUGUCACAAACAGGGAGUCACAUUUAGUAAUGUCACAAAACAGGAGUCACAUUCGUCACAAACAGGGAGUCACAUUCAGUAAUGUCACAAACAGGGAGUCACAUUCAGUAAUGUCACAAACAGGGAGUCACAUUCAGUAAUGUCACAAACAGGGAGUCACAUUUGGUAAUGUCACAAACAGGGAGUCACAUUCAGUAAUGUCACAAACAGGGAGUCACAUUCGGUAAUGUCACAAAACAGGGAGUCACAUUUGGUAAUGUCACAAACAGGGAGUCACAUUCAGUAAUGUCACAAACAGGGAGUCACAUUCAGUAAUGUCACAAACA